rnacentral:rRNA from 1 species
AAGUGAUUUCUGAAUGGAUAACCGUUGGAAAAGCUAGAGCUAAUACAUGCAACAGAGCAAUUUCUGCGGCCAAGUGGAAAUGUACAUAUUAGCAACAAAAAGAAUGUCCAAAAAAGUUUAAACAAAAGGAUGAAUGAUAAUAUUUCAAACAAAGCAUAUAGAACAGGAGCAAGAGAGUGAUUUCUUGUUUUUGGAUGCUAAACCGAUCAAAUUUCUGCCCUAUCAACUUUGGACGGUAACGUAGUGGGUUACGGUGGUGAUGACGGGUAACGGAGAAUGAGGGUUUGAUUCCGGAGAGGGAGCAUGAGAAAUGGCUACCACUUCCAAGGAAGGCAGCAGGCGCGUAAAUUACCCAAUCCAAACAAUGUAUCUUAAGAGUGGGAGGUAGUGACGAUAAAUAACAGUCAUAAAAUGAAAUAACAAGUUUUAUGAAUUGGAAUGAGAACGAUUUAAAUCCGUUAUCGAGUAACAAUUUCAGGGCAAGUUCUGGUGCCAGCAGCCGCGGUAACUCCAGCUGAAAAAGCGUAUACGAAUAUUGUUGCAGUUAAAACGCUCGUAGUUGGAAUAGACAAAUGGAACAAAAAAGAGGAAAAGGUUUCCUUUUCUUUUGAAAUAAUUCCAUUUGAAUAUUUUAAGAAAAUGUUAUCAUUGUUGUGAUGAUGAUAUUUUUUUGAAUUUUACUUUGAAUAAAUUAGAGUGCUUUAAGCAAACUGUGGAAGACUGAUAAAAAGGUGGUUCCAAAUAUACAAUUUGAAUAAUUGAGCUAAGAAUAAUGAAAGAAGAUUUGAAAGAUAAGAGAGAUUUUUUUGGUAAUUAUGUUUUAAAUAAUGAUAAAUAGGAAUAGUUGGGGGUAUUUGUAUUGAAUAGUCAGAGGUGAAAUUCGAGGAUUUGUUCAAGACAAACAUCAGCGAAAGCAUUUACCAAAGAUAUUUCCAUUAAUCAAGAACGAAAGUUAGGGGAUCGAAGAUGAUCAGAUACCGUCGUAGUCCUAACUAUAAACGAUACCAACCAAAGAUAAGGGUGGGAAAACAAAAAGAAGAGGUGUGUCAUAACAUCUCUCUUUUCUAUAACCAUCUUUAUAUUUUAGAGGGAAACCAUUGAGU